UCCCUCUCAGAGUCACAACUGGAGAGUUUCCAGUACUCUACCAGUCUCAACUAUGGGAGAGAGAGAGUCAGGCAGAGGCAUAUCCAUUCCAUCCCUAGUUUGGACAGUAGCUAGUGAAUGGAAGGCAAUUUGCUACAAGU